UGACCCCAAAAGCCACCUCCGUUGUGACAAAAAAAGCAGUUUCUACACGACCGAAUCCCUGAAAAGAACUCUUUGGUGAAAUGAAGCUGACUUGUUUCUCCUGUCUGUACAGCAACAUUCAUGAGGAGUGAGAGCCUACAUCAACAUGAAUGAAUAGGCAUUGUCACACACGUGUACAUGGGAGAAAGCUAGAAGGACCAAAAGAAGCUGAAGAUCCUGAAGGGCACAAAGGACACUGUGGAAUCCUCUGUUGGUGGUAAACUGGGUUGAAGUAAAGUCCUUGUUAGCAAGAAUGUUGAAUACAGAAGGUACAAUAUGGGCACUGAAACAGCUUGUUCUCAGGUUGUUCUCCCUAUUUUGGCUCAAGGAUUAUCUAAUUUCUCUUUGUGCGACUCACCCCUGGACACAGAUAAAGAACUUCAGCUAAAGACAAAUGAUUUGCACAUGUUCCUGUUUCCAUUGUUGGAUGAGAGACCCUGAUUCUGAUG